rnacentral:rRNA from 1 species
UACGAGGGGGGCAAGCGUUGUUCGGAAUCACUGGGCUUAAAGGGCGCGUAGGCGGGUGCUCAAGUCCGGGGUGAAAUCCUCCGGCUCAACCGGAGAACUGCCUCGGAUACUGGGUGCCUCGAGGGUGGUAGGGGUAUGCGGAACUAUCGGUGGAGCGGUGAAAUGCGUUGAUAUCGAUAGGAACUCCGGUGGCGAAGGCGGCAUACUGGACCACCUCUGACGCUGAGGCGCGAAAGCCAGGGGAGCAAACGGG